rnacentral:lncRNA from 12 species
AAGGAAAGGAAAUGCUCCAAAAGAGACCAAUAAGACUCUUCAAAGAAGAAAGCAUUGGCAACAGAAACUAUAGUCUCUCCCACCUCAUAGACAUGAGAAGAGCUCUGUAAAUUAUCUGAAUAUUUUUGCCAAGAGAUGCAAAAGACUAGCACAGCUGAGCUACACUGGUUGGAGGGACCCAAAGAGAGGCAGGAGCCCACUGUGCUGUCCCUUGGGACAUGAUGAUAGCAGCUGCUGAGUAUGAAAUAAACUCCCAUCGUGUCAGUUAAGCUAGCACCUCAGGAAAGAAGCAAAAUACAAGAUACUGAAGAUUCAAGAAGGAGAAAGGCAUUCAGCAAGGAAAACUCUUCAGAGGAGGAAACACUUCAGUUGGCUUUUGACAGGAAAAUGAGUUCUGAUGAUCCUAAAAAGGGGAAGGCAAUGGGGACAGCACUCAGUAAAGGGAUAUGAUUUACCACUAGCUGACUCCGUGACUAGAAUCAAAAAGUAUAAGCUUUCAAUUUCAACUGACCAUAAUAUUGUAAAUGUAAAUGACAAUUCUAGAGAUGAGAAGUUUUUGACAUGAAUGGAAAAUGGGAAGACUACUGAUACUGCCUUUUCCCACAUGAUCAAAAAAGUAAGUGAAACUUAUAGAAUAUUUACAUUUUCUGUGAC